AGAGUUUGAUCAUGGCUCAGGAUGAACGCUAGCUACAGGCUUAACACAUGCAAGUCGAGGGGCAGCAUCAUCAAAGCUUGCUUUGAUGGAUGGCGACCGGCGCACGGGUGAGUAACACGUAUCCAACCUGCCGACAACACUGGGAUAGCCUUUCGAAAGAAAGAUUAAUACCGGAUGGUAUAGUUUUCCCGCAUGGGAUGAUUAUUAAAGAAUUUCGGUUGUCGAUGGGGAUGCGUUCCAUUAGGCAGUUGGCGGGGUAACGGCCCACCAAACCUACGAUGGAUAGGGGUUCUGAGAGGAAGGUCCCCCACAUUGGAACUGA
rnacentral:rRNA from 1 species